rnacentral:rRNA from 1 species
UACGGGGGGGGUAAGCGUUGUUCGGAAUUACUGGGCGUAAAGGGCUCGUAGGCGGCCAACUAAGUCAGACGUGAAAUCCCUCAGCUUAACUGGGGAACUGCGUCUGAUACUGGAUGGCUUGGAUCCGGGAGAGGGAUGCGGAAUUCCAGGUGUAGCGGUGAAAUGCGUAGAUAUCUGGAGGAACACCGGUGGCGAAGGCGGAUCUCUGGGCCUUGCCUGACGCUGAGUGCGCGAAAGCCAGGGGAGCAAACGGG